GGCGUGCUUUCAGUCCAUAUGAAAGCACGCCCCUGUCACUGUGAUUGGGGAGUAGAGGAUUCGGGAAGGGUAGGGGGGAGGAGCGGGCACCAAGGAUAUCAAAUCUCUACACUUGACUCUGUAUGCGGCCAUCCCUGCCCGCUCGCGAGCAGCCCGUCCUCCAGCCUGGACCCCAGAACAUACAGCUGCCCGUCCUCCAGCAGCCCGCCCCCCCUGCAACAGGCUGCUUAUCAACUGUUCCGACACUGGCAAGCUGCACCUCCUACCCGACAGUCUGUGAUUCCCGGCGCAGGGUCGCGCCGGUGACGUCUUCGCCCCUCUGCUGGACGCGGUGGCCUGCAGUCCACUAUUGGUGUUUGGCAGCACUUAGCAGCAUGCUACAAGGUGCAGUUGAUGACUUGCCCCAUCGGCAUUAUAUUUAUAUUGAAUAGCAAGGAAACAUAUUUUUCAGCACUGUACAGAAAUUGUUUAGACACUCAUAUCUUUGCCACAGUGCUGUGACCAUAUGCAUAUGAUGCCAAUACCAAACAUUUGGCUCAGAGAUAUAGAAGUUCUCCACAGUGAAAGGUAUUCUAGGCCUAUCAUUUUAAAAGAAAUUAGAAAAACUGAGUUUUUUUAUUACUUAUAUAUUCAUAUUGUUAAAUGAUAACAUAAUUUUUUAGAAGCAAUGUUUUUAUUUGUAUACA